rnacentral:rRNA from 1 species
AACUAACAAGGAUUCCCCUAGUAAUGGCGAAUGAAGAGGGAAAAGCCCAAAUUUGUAAUCUGGCUCUUUCAGAGUCCGAGUUGUAUUUUGAGAACUGUUUUCAGUGCUGGACCAUGUACAAGUCUGUUGAAAAGCAGCAUCAUAGAAGGUGAUAAUCCUGUUAAUGAUAUGGACUACCAGUGCAAUAUGAUACAGUCUCUAAGAGUCGAGUUGUUUGGGAAUGCAGCUCAAAGUGGGUGGUAAAUUCCAUCUAAGGCUAAAUAUUGAUGAGAGACCGAUAGCAAACAAGUACCGUGAGGGAAAGAUGAAAAGAACUUUGGAAAGAGAGUUAACAGUACGUGAAAUUGUUAAAAGGGAAACAAUUGAAGUUAGACUUGUUAUUAUUAGUUCAACCUUUUCAAGGGAGUAUUCUGAUGAUUAACAGACCAACAUCAAUUUUUGGGUGUUGGAGAAGGGUUCAAGGAAAUGUAGCAGUCUCUGACUGUGUUAUAGUCCUGGGCUUUGAUACAAUGCUUAAGAUUGAGGAUUGCAGUAAGCACAUUUUUUUGGGUGGAACUAAUUAUUGUUCUUCUUACUGAGGAUGUUGGUGCAAUAGCUUUAAAUG